GUCCCCCUUAAUCAUUUCUGAAAACUUCCUUGGGCAAUGGUUACUUGCUGUGAUGCUGUUUGUGGACAGGGUCCCAGGACUGGAGGCAAGCUCUAAAUUUAAAUGGCCAAAGGAAACCUCAAGUUACCUGAGAAUCAAAAAACACCAAAUGAGCCAGAUGACAACAGAUCUGAGUAAGGCAUCUUCAGCAAACACAAACAAAACAGCGGCGCUAUGUGUGAUUGAAUCAAGAAGGAGUUAAGGAAGAGGAAUAUCACAAACGCAAGUCCACACAGCUUUAUGGAAACAAGUCUUGACAAGCAGGCCUGACUUCACUUUCUGAUGAGAUUACAAGUUUGUUUGAUCAAGGUAA